UGGGAAUCUUGCACAAUGGGCGAAAGCCUGAUGCAGCAACGCCGCGUGCGGGAAGACAGCCCUAGGGUUGUAAACCGCUUUCAGCAGGGAAGAAACUGACGGUACCUGCAGAAGAAGAUGCGGCCAACUACGUGCCAGCAGCCGCGGUGACACGUAGGCAUCAAGCGUUAUCCGGAUUUAUUGGGCGUAAAGAGCUCGUAGGCGGUUCGGUAAGUCGGGUGUGAAAACUCUGGGCUCAACCCAGAGAGGCCACUCGAUACUGCUGUGACUAGAGUGCGGUAGGGGAGCGGGGAAUUCCUGGUGUAGCGGUGAAAUGCGCAGAUAUCAGGAGGAACACCAGUGGCGAAGGCGCCGCUCUGGGCCGUAACUGACGCUGAGGAGCGAAAGCAUGGGUAGCAAACAGGAUUAGAUACCCUGGUAGUCCAUGCCGUAAACGUUGGGCACUAGGUGUGGGUCUCAACCAACGAGAUCCGCGCCGUCGCUAACGCAUUAAGUGCCCGCCUGGGAGUACGGUCGCAAGACUAAACU
rnacentral:rRNA from 1 species